UGUUUUGUGGCGAAGUUGGUUAACGCGCCCUGUCUAGCGAACUUGGGGAGACGUGGGUUCAAACCCCACCAGAACUA
rfam:Aedes albopictus isolate Foshan contig75836, whole genome shotgun sequence.